rnacentral:rRNA from 1 species
CCUACGAGCGGCUGCAGUGAGGAAUAUUGGUCAAUGGGCGUAAGCCUGAACCAGCCAAGUCGCGUGAGGGAUGAAGGUUCUAUGGAUCGUAAACCUCUUUUAUAAGGGCAUAAAGUGUGGGACGUGUCCUAUUUUGUAUGUACCUUAUGAAUAAGGAUCGGUAAACUCCGUGCCAGAAGCCGCGGUAAUACGGAGGAUCCGGGCGUUAUCCGGAUUUAUUGGGUUUAAAGGUUGCGUAGGCGGCCUUUUAAGUCAGCGGUGAAAGUCUGUGGCUCAACCCUAGAAUUGCCGGUGAACCUGGGGGGCUUGAGGAUGUGUGAGGCAAGCGGAAUGCGUGGUGUAGCGGUGAAAUGCUUAGAUAUCACGCAGAACCCCGAUUGCGAAGGCAGCCUGCCAAGCCAUGACUGACGCUGAUGCACGAAAGCGUGGGGAUCAAACAGGAUUAGAUACCCUAGUAGUC